rnacentral:rRNA from 1 species
UGGGGGAUAUUGCACAAUGGGCGAAAGCCUGAUGCAGCGACGCCGCGUGGGGGAUGAAGGCCUUCGGGUUGUAAACUUCUUUUGCUCUGAACAAGGCGCACCAUGGGGUGUGUUGAGUGUAGGGGUUGAUUAGCGCCGGCUAACUACGUGCCAGCAGCCGCGGUAAUACGUAGGGCGCGGGCGUUGUCCGGAAUUAUUGGGCGUAAAGGGCUUGUAGGUGGCUGGUUGCGUCUGUCGUGAAAGCUCAUGGCUUAACUGUGGGUUUGCGGUGGGUACGGGCUGGCUUGAGUGAAGUAGGGGAGGCUGGAAUUCCUGGUGUAGCGGUGGAAUGCGCAGAUAUCAGGAGGAAUACCGGUGGCGAAGGCGGGUCUCUGGGCUGUUACUGACACUGAGGAGCGAAAGCAUGGGGAGCGAACAGG